AUUCUUUGAAGAACUUUUAUUUUCAGUAAGAAGCCUAUUAUCCAGUGUGAAGCCCUGAUGGUAAGAAGAAAAUCUGACUGAAUAGGUCACAGACAUUAUCAUCCAUAGAAGGAUUAUUGGCUCUUUGGCUGGACUGGAUAAGACUGAACAAGGCCUUGUAUUUGCUGUUUCUUUUGUUUUAUAAGAUUUUGAGAAUAACAGACACUACAUCUUGAAGGGAAAUUACUUCUGUCUUCCAGAGCUAUACUCAGAUGUCAAACCCCUAUCAACCUCUUGAAGACACAUUUUGACCAAAUCUGUCUGUUUGACUGGCUUGUGUGUCAUCUUCCUGAGAGAUGGAUGUAAUUUCAGUGCAAGAAUUGAUGUCCUUCACUUGACUUUUCUUUAUCUCUGGGUUUUGCUAUGAAUAUGGAAAUGUGGCUUGUGGUCUCCCU
rnacentral:lncRNA from 1 species